GUGUGGGCACUACCAAGCCGGGUGGACCGACGAGAGCACCUGCUUGGCGUGCAGAAGGACCUGGGUUCAAUCCCCAGCAGCACCU